rnacentral:rRNA from 1 species
CCCCUAGAUGUUCUGGGCCGCACGCGCGCUACACUGAACAGUUCAACAAGUCUUAACCUUGGCCGAUAGGUCUGGGUAAUCUUUGAACGCUGUUCGUGAUUGGGAUAGACCUUUGCAAUUAUGGGUCUUCAACGAGGAAUUCCUAGUAAACGCAAGUCAUCAGCUUGCAUUGAUUACGUCCCUGCCCUUUGUACACACCGCCCGUCGCUCCUACCGAUUGGGUGUGCUGGUGAAGUGUUCGGAUUGGCUCCUAUUGGUGGCAACACUGAUUGGAGCCGAGAAGAUCAUUAAACCCUCCCACCUAGAGGAAGGAGAAGUCGUAACA